rnacentral:rRNA from 1 species
UACGUAGGGCGCGAGCGUUGUCCGGAAUUAUUGGGCGUAAAGAGCUCGUAGGCGGCCUGUUGCGUCCGCUGUGAAAUCCCGGGGCUCAACCCCGGGCUUGCAGUGGAUACGGGCUGGCUAGAGGCAGGCAGGGGAGAACGGAAUUCCCGGUGUAGCGGUGAAAUGCGCAGAUAUCAGGAGGAACACCGGUGGCGAAGGCGGGUCUCUGGGCAACAACUGACGCUGAGGAGCGAAAGCGUGGGGAGCGAACAGG